GACGAACGCUGGCGGCGUGCUUAACACAUGCAAGUCGAACGGAAAGGCCCCUUUGGGGGUACUCUAGUGGCGAACGGGGGCGUAACACGUGCGUAACCUUCCCUUGACUUCGGGAUAACUUCAGGAAACUGGGGCUAAUACCGGAUAGGAAUCCUUGCUUCAUGGUGGGGGUUGGAAAGCUUCGGCGGUUUUGGAUGGACUGGCGGCUUAUCAGCUUGUUGGUGGGGUAGUGGCUUACCAAGGCUUUGACGGGUAGCCGGCCUGAGAGGGCGACCGGCCACAUUGGGACUGAGAUACGGCCCAGACUCCGACGGGAGGCAGCAGUGGGGAAGAUUGAACAAUGGGCGGAAGCCUGAUGCAGCAACGCCGCGGGCGGGAUGACGGCCUUCGGGUUGUAAACCGCUUUCAGCAGGGGCGAAGCUUGUGGUGACGGUACCUGCAGAAGAAGCACCGGCUAACUACGUG
rnacentral:rRNA from 1 species